rnacentral:rRNA from 1 species
UACGUAGGGAGCAAGCGUUGUCCGGAAUUAUUGGGCGUAAAGCGCGUGUAGGCGGUUCGAUAAGUCGGUUGUGAAAGUCCAGGGCUCAACCCUGGGAUGCCGACCGAUACUGUCGGACUAGAGUCCGGAAGAGGUGAGUGGAAUUCCCGGUGUAGCGGUGAAAUGCGCAGAUAUCGGGAAGAACACCCGUGGCGAAGGCGGUUCUCUGGGACGGUACUGACGCUGAGACGCGAAAGCGUGGGGAGCGAACAGG